rnacentral:rRNA from 1 species
AACGUACGCUGGCGGCACGCCUAACACAUGCAAGUCGAACGCAGUAGCAAUACUGAGUGGCAAACGGGUGAGUAUAAUGUGGGAAUCUGCCUUUUGGUUUGGAAUAACACGGGGAAACUUGUGCUAAUACCGAAUAAGCCCUUACGGGGAAAGUUUUAAUGCCGAAAGAUGAGCCCGCACUUGAUUAGCUAGUUGGUAAGGUAAAAGCUUACCAAGGCAACGAUCAAUAGCUGUUCUUAGAGGAAGACCAGCCACAUUGGGACUGAGACACGGCCCAGACUCCUACGGGAGGCAGCAGUGGGGAAUCUUGCACAAUGGGGGAAACCCUGAUGCAGCGAUGCCGCGUGAGUGAAGAAGGCCCUUGGGUUGUAAAACUCUUUCGUCGGGGAAGAAAAUGACUGUACCCGAAUAAGAAGGUCCGGCUAACUUCGUGCCAGCAGCCGCGGUAAUACGAAGGGACCUAGCGUAGUUCGGAAUUACUGGGCUUAAAGAGCUCGUAGGUGGUUAAAAAAGUUGAUGGUGAAAUCCCAAGGCUCAACCUUGGAACUGCCAUCAAAACUUUUUAGCUAGAGUGUGAUAGAGGUAAGUGGAAUUUCUAGUGUAGAGGUGAAAUUCGUAGAUAUUAGAAAGAACACCAAAUGCGAAGGCAACUUACUGGGUCACUACUGACACUGAGGAGCGAAAGCAUGGGUAGCGAAGAGGAUUAGAUACCCUCGUAGUCCAUGCCGUAAACGAUGAGUGCUAGACGUUGGAGAUAUAUUUUUCAGUGUCGCAGCGAAAGCAUUAAGCACUCCGCCUGGGGAGUACGACCGCAAGGUUAAAACUCAAAUGAAUUGACGG